CCCUUAGAUGUUCUGGGCCGCACGCGCGAUACACUGAUGCAUUCAACGAGUUUCUUCCUGGUCCGAGAGGAAUGGGUAACCUUUUGAAAGUGCAUCGUGAUAGGGAUAGACUAUUGCAAUUAUUGGUCUUCAACGAGGAAUUCCUAGUAGACGUAGUUCAUCAGACUGCAUCGAUUACGUCCCUGCCCUUUGUACACACCGCCCGUCGCUCCUACCGAUUGAAUGCUCAGGUGAGCCAUUCGGACUUUCAUCAUGCUGGUUUCCAGUUUUGAUGAAGGAAAGUCUUGCGAACCUUAUCAUUUAGAGGAAGGAGAAGUCGUAACA
rnacentral:rRNA from 1 species